rnacentral:rRNA from 1 species
GACGAACGCUGGCGGCGUGCUUAACACAUGCAAGUCGAGCGGUAAGGCCCUUUCGGGGGUACACGAGCGGCGAACGGGUGAGUAACACGUGGGUGACCUGCCCUCAGCUCUGGGAUAAGCCCGGGAAACUGGGUCUAAUACUGGAUAUUACUCUGCGGUGCAUGCCGUGGGGUGGAAAGCCUUGUGCGGCUGGGGAUGGGCCCGCGGCCUAUCAGCUUGUUGGUGGGGUGAUGGCCACCAAGGCGACGACGGGUAGCCGGCCUGAGAGGGCGACCGGCCACACUGGGACUGAGACACGGCCCAGACUCCUACGGGAGGCAGCAGUGGGGAAUCUUGCGCAAUGGGCGAAGACCUCGACGCAGCGACGCCGCCGUGAGGGAGUGACGGCCGUCG